AAAGUCUCCAUGACAGACUCCAUAUUGAAGACUAAUUUCAAAAGAUUAAAGAGAAACUCAUGAUAAUAAUAGCUCGUACAGCUAGUGCUUCUUCCAUCGAAGUAGAGCUUUCAAGAAAUCACUCCAAAAAGGAGUUGUAUAGGAAGGAUCUCUCCAAAACAUUCCAAAGCAAUACAAUAGGAGAAGCUUUUACCCUUUUUGGGUCGUGAAGGACCAUGCUUUGUGCUCUGUUCUCACAACAUUGAGAACUUUGUAGUAGAGCGAAGCUGGAAAAGAGUUGUGGCGUUGUGGAUGCAUGUGGUACUCUUAUGCCAAACCUCGUAAACACACGCAUGACAUGCUUGAAGCAGUGCAAUGGAGAUGUCAUUGCUUGUAGAAGUUGUUGAUGACAGGCGGAU